rnacentral:rRNA from 1 species
GGGUAACCUGCCCUAUGCUGGAUAAUAACCUCGGGAAACUGAGAAUAAUGAUCCAUAGUUCACUACGCCUGGAACGGUGAGUGGAUGAAAGCUCCGGCGGCAUAGGAUGGGCCUGCGGCGUAUCAGGUUGUAGGGGGUGUAACGUACCCUCUAGCCCUCUACGCGUACGGGUGUUGGGAGACAUAGCCCGGAGAUGGAUUCUGAGACACGAAUCCAGACCCUACGGGGUGCAGCAGGCGCGAAAACUUGGCAAUGCGAGAAAUCGUGACCAGGGAACUCCAAGUGCAUCGGGUAAGACCGGUGCUUUUCUUGACUCUAAAUAGGUCUUGGAAUAAGGGGUGGGUAAGGACGGUGCCAGCCGUCGCGGUAAUACCGGCGCCUCAAGUGGUAGUCGCUUUUAUUGGGCCUAAAACGUCCGUAGCCGGUCUGAUACAUUCGUGGGUAAAUCAACCAGCUCAACUGGUUGAAUUCUGCGAGGACGGUCAGACUUGGGACCGGGAGAGGUGUGGGGUACGCUCAGGGUAGGGGUAAAAUCCUGUCAUCCUGAGCGGACCACCUGUUGCGAAGGCGCCACACUAGAACGGAUCCGACGGUCAGGGACGAAGCCUAGGGGCACGAACCGGAUUAGAUACCCGGGUAGUCCUAGGUGUAAACGCUGUGGACUUGAUGUUGGGGGUGCUCCGAGCACUCUCAGUGUCGAAGCGAAGGUGAUAAGUCCACUGCCUGGGAAGUACGGUCGCAAGGCUGAAACUU